rnacentral:tRNA from 1 species
GCUCGAGAAGCUCAAUUGGUAGAGCGGAACACUGAAGAUGUUUAGGUUAUAAGUUCAAGUCUUAUUUCGAGCACUA